AUUGAACGCUGGCGGCAGGCCUAACACAUGCAAGUCGAACGAGUGGCGGACGGGUGAGUAAUGUCUGGGACACGGCCCGAGGGAGGGGGAUAAGUACUGGAAACGGUAGCUAAUACCGCAUACCAUCGGAUGUGCCCAGAUGGGAUUAGCUAGUGGGUGGGGUAAAGGCACACCUAGGCGACGAUCCCUAGCUGGUCUGAGAGGAUGACCAGCCACACUGGAACGGAGACACGGUCCAGACUCCUACGGGAGGCAGCAGUGGGGAAUAUUGCACAAUGGGCGAAAGCCUGAUGCAGCCAUGCCGCGUGUAUGAAGAAGGCCUUCGGGUUGUAAAGUACUUUCAGCGGGGAGGCGUUACCCGCAGAAGAAGCACCGGCUAACUCCGUGCCAGCCGCCGCGGUAAUAC
rnacentral:rRNA from 1 species